rnacentral:rRNA from 1 species
UACGGAGGGUGCAAGCGUUAUCCGGAUUUACUGGGUUUAAAGGGUGCGUAGGUGGAUAAUUAAGUCAGUGGUGAAAUCUUCAGGCUUAACCUGGAAACUGCCAUUGAUACUAUUUGUCUUGAAUACUUUGGAGGUAAGCUGGAAUAUGUCAUGUAGCGGUGAAAUGCUUAGAUAUGACAUAGAACACCAAUUGCGAAGGCAGCUUACUACACAGUAAUUGACACUGAGGCACGAAAGCGUGGGAGU